GAGUUUGAUCAUGGCUCAGAACGUACGCUGGCGGCACGCCUAACACAUGCAAGUCGAACGAAGUAGCAAUACUUAGUGGCAGACGGGUGAGUAACAUGUAGGUAUCUGCCCUUUGGCCUGGAAUAACACGAGGAAACUUGUGCUAAUACCGGAUAAGUCUUUACGGAGAAAGCUUUAUGCACCAUUGGAUGAGCCUGCACUUGAUUAGUUUGUUGGUGGGGUAAUGGCCUACCAAGACUGUGAUCAAUAGCUGAUUUGAGAGGAUGAUCAGCCACAUUGGGACUGAGACACGGCCCAAACUCCUACGGGAGGCAGCAGUGGGGAAUCUUGCACAAUGGAGGAAACUCUGAUGCAGCGAUGCCGCGUGAGUGAAGAAGGCCCUUGGGUUGUAAAGCUCUUUCGUCGGGGAAGAAAAUGACUGUACCCGAAUAAGAAGGUCCGGCUAACUUCGUGCCAGCAGCCGCGGUAAUACGAAGGGACCUAGCGUAGUUCGGAAUUACUGGGCUUAAAGAGUUCGUAGGUGGUUGAAAAAGUUAGUGGUGAAAUCCCAGAGCUUAACUCUGGAACUGCCAUUAAAACUUUUCAGCUAGAGUAUGAUAGAGGAAAGCAGAAUUUCUAGUGUAGAGGUGAAAUUCGUAGAUAUUAGAAAGAAUACCAAUUGCGAAGGCAGCUUUCUGGAUCAUUACUGACACUGAGGAACGAAAGCAUGGGUAGCGAAGAGGAUUAGGUACCCUCGUAGUCCAUGCCGUAAACGAUGUGUGUUAGACGUUGGAAAUUUAUUUUCAGUGUCGCAGGGAAACCGAUAAACACACCGCCUGGGGAGUACGACCGCAAGGUUAAAACUCAAAUGAAUUGACGGGGACCCGCACAAGUAGUGGAGCAUGUGGUUUAAUUCGAAGAUACGCGCAGAACCUUACCAACACUUGACAUGUUCGUCGCGACUCUAAGAGAUUAGAGUUUUCGGUUCGGCCGGACGAAACACAGGUGCUGCAUGGCUGUCGUCAGCUCGUGUCGUGAGAUGUUGGGUUAAGUCCCGCAACGAGCGCAACCCUCACUUUCAGUUGCCAUCAUUAAGUUGGGCACUCUGAAAGAACUGCCAGUGAUAAGCUGGAGGAAGGUGGGGAUGACGUCAAGUCCUCAUGGCCCUUACGUGUUGGGCUACACACGUGCUACAAUGGUAUCUACAACAGGAAGCAAGACUGCGAAGUUAAGCAAAUCCCUAAAAGAUACCUCAGUUCGGAUUGCACUCUGCAACUCGAGUGCAUGAAGCUGGAAUUACUAGUAAUCGUGGAUCAGCGUGCCACGGUGAAUGCGUUCCCGGGUCUUGUACACACCGCCCGUCACUCCAUGGGAGUUGGUUCUACCUUAAGGCAAGGUUUCAAACCCUUGACCACGGUAUAGUCAGCGACUGGGGUGAAGUCGUAACAAGGUAACC
rnacentral:rRNA from 1 species